GGUUAAGCGACUAAGCGUACACGGUGGAUGCCCUGGCAGUCAGAGGCGAUGAAGGACGUGCUAAUCUGCGAUAAGCGUCGGUAAGGUGAUAUGAACCGUUAUAACCGGCGAUUUCCGAAUGGGGAAACCCAGUGUGUUUCGACACACUAUCAUUAACUGAAUCCAUAGGUUAAUGAGGCGAACCGGGGGAACUGAAACAUCUAAGUACCCCGAGGAAAAGAAAUCAACCGAGAUUCCCCCAGUAGCGGCGAGCGAACGGGGAGCAGCCCAGAGCCUGAAUCAGUGUGUGUGUUAGUGGAAGCGUCUGGAAAGGCGCGCGAUACAGGGUGACAGCCCCGUACACAAAAAUGCACAUGCUGUGAGCUCGAUGAGUAGGGCGGGACACGUGGUAUCCUGUCUGAAUAUGGGGGGACCAUCCUCCAAGGCUAAAUACUCCUGACUGACCGAUAGUGAACCAGUACCGUGAGGGAAAGGCGAAAAGAACCCCGGCGAGGGGAGUGAAAAAGAACCUGAAACCGUGUACGUACAAGCAGUGGGAGCACGCUUAGGCGUGUGACUGCGUACCUUUUGUAUAAUGGGUCAGCGACUUAUAUUCUGUAGCAAGGUUAACCGAAUAGGGGAGCCGAAGGGAAACCGAGUCUUAACUGGGCGUUAAGUUGCAGGGUAUAGACCCGAAACCCGGUGAUCUAGCCAUGGGCAGGUUGAAGGUUGGGUAACACUAACUGGAGGACCGAACCGACUAAUGUUGAAAAAUUAGCGGAUGACUUGUGGCUGGGGGUGAAAGGCCAAUCAAACCGGGAGAUAGCUGGUUCUCCCCGAAAGCUAUUUAGGUAGCGCCUCGUGAAUUCAUCUCCGGGGGUAGAGCACUGUUUCGGCAAGGGGGUCAUCCCGACUUACCAACCCGAUGCAAACUGCGAAUACCGGAGAAUGUUAUCACGGGAGACACACGGCGGGUGCUAACGUCCGUCGUGAAGAGGGAAACAACCCAGACCGCCAGCUAAGGUCCCAAAGUCAUGGUUAAGUGGGAAACGAUGUGGGAAGGCCCAGACAGCCAGGAUGUUGGCUUAGAAGCAGCCAUCAUUUAAAGAAAGCGUAAUAGCUCACUGGUCGAGUCGGCCUGCGCGGAAGAUGUAACGGGGCUAAACCAUGCACCGAAGCUGCGGCAGCGACGCUGAUGCGUUGUUGGGUAGGGGAGCGUUCUGUAAGCCUGCGAAGGUGUGCUGUGAGGCAUGCUGGAGGUAUCAGAAGUGCGAAUGCUGACAUAAGUAACGAUAAAGCGGGUGAAAAGCCCGCUCGCCGGAAGACCAAGGGUUCCUGUCCAACGUUAAUCGGGGCAGGGUGAGUCGACCCCUAAGGCGAGGCCGAAAGGCGUAGUCGAUGGGAAACAGGUUAAUAUUCCUGUACUUGGUGUUACUGCGAAGGGGGGACGGAGAAGGCUAUGUUGGCCGGGCGACGGUUGUCCCGGUUUAAGCGUGUAGGCUGGUUUUCCAGGCAAAUCCGGAAAAUCAAGGCUGAGGCGUGAUGACGAGGCACUACGGUGCUGAAGCAACAAAUGCCCUGCUUCCAGGAAAAGCCUCUAAGCAUCAGGUAACAUCAAAUCGUACCCCAAACCGACACAGGUGGUCAGGUAGAGAAUACCAAGGCGCUUGAGAGAACUCGGGUGAAGGAACUAGGCAAAAUGGUGCCGUAACUUCGGGAGAAGGCACGCUGAUAUGUAGGUGAAGCGACUUGCUCGUGGAGCUGAAAUCAGUCGAAGAUACCAGCUGGCUGCAACUGUUUAUUAAAAACACAGCACUGUGCAAACACGAAAGUGGACGUAUACGGUGUGACGCCUGCCCGGUGCCGGAAGGUUAAUUGAUGGGGUUAGCGCAAGCGAAGCUCUUGAUCGAAGCCCCGGUAAACGGCGGCCGUAACUAUAACGGUCCUAAGGUAGCGAAAUUCCUUGUCGGGUAAGUUCCGACCUGCACGAAUGGCGUAAUGAUGGCCAGGCUGUCUCCACCCGAGACUCAGUGAAAUUGAACUCGCUGUGAAGAUGCAGUGUACCCGCGGCAAGACGGAAAGACCCCGUGAACCUUUACUAUAGCUUGACACUGAACAUUGAGCCUUGAUGUGUAGGAUAGGUGGGAGGCUU
rnacentral:rRNA from 1 species